AGGCUGAGCCCCUGUUCCCGGGAAUGGCAGGGGCGCCCGCGCGAGGAGGGUCGCCGGGAGAGCCGCCUCUCCUCCGAGCUGGAGCAGCCGUGACCCAGAUUACGACCGCGGCGGCCUCGCCCUGCCUAACCCCCCCUCUUCUUCCUCCAGGGGCACCCUUUGGAGAAGAACCCCAGCCUGGGGUGGGGACGCACCGGCUCUCCGGCAGCUCAAACACAGACAGAUCUUCUAGAGCAGGGGAAAUUUCUUUUCGCAGAAGCCAUUACUCCCCCCGUUCUGAGGAUUCAGAAACAAGGAGGCCCCACUCGCUGCCCUCUGGAUGCUCCCAGCCCAGAAGGCACGAAGAUGCAGACAUGCCCAACUGCGGUACCCUGUUGUCAAUGUUCCAUAGGAGCCCAGGAGCGCCAGAGAGAGAGACAGAGAGAGGCCUGCUCCAGCCAUGCAGGAGACCAGCACAGACCCAUCAGUGAAGCCUGUUCUCAACAAAUGCUUGUAAAUGACUCACUUCUUCUGGGGUCUGGAGGACGAUGGA
rnacentral:antisense_RNA from 1 species